GCCGGGAUGGCGGAAUGGUAGACGCAUCCGACUUAAAAUCGGCCGCCGAGAGGCGUGAGGGUUCAAGUCCCUUUCCCGGCACCA
rnacentral:tRNA from 6 species